CAGCUCCAAUAGCGUAUAUUAAAGUUGUUGCAGUUAAAAAGCUCGUAGUCGGAUUUCGGGCCGAUCGCUCCGGUCUGCCGUUGGGUAUGCACUGGUAGUGUUUGGUCUUUUUGCGUGAGGCCUUAUGCGUCGUUGAUUCGUCGUGUUUGGUGCUCUGCACGUUACUUUGAGAAAAAUCAGAGUGUUCAAAGCAGGCCUUU
rnacentral:rRNA from 1 species